AUUGAACGCUGGCGGCAGGCCUAACACAUGCAAGUCGAACGAGUGGCGGACGGGUGAGUAAUGUCUGGGAAACUGCCUGAUGGAGGGGGAUAACUACUGGAAACGGUAGCUAAUACCGCAUACCAUCGGAUGUGCCCAGAUGGGAGUAGCUAGUAGGUGGGGUAACGGCUAACCUAGGCGACGAUCCCUAGCUGGUCUGAGAGGAUGACCAGCCACACUGGAAAUGAGACACGGUCCAGACUCCUGCGGUAGACAGCAGUGGGGAAUAUUGCCCAAUGGGCGCAAGCGUGAUGCAGCCAUGCCGCGGUUAUGAAGACGGCCUGCGGGUUGUAAAUUACUUUCAGCGGGGAGGCGUUACCCGCAGAAGAAGCACCGGCUAACGCCGUGCCAGCAGCCGCGGUGAUUC
rnacentral:rRNA from 1 species